GACGAACGCUGGCGGCGUGCUUAACACAUGCAAGUCGAACGGUAAGGCUCCAUCUUGCUGGGGUGCACGAGUGGCGAACGGGUGAGUAACACGUGGGUGACCUGCCCUGCACUUCGGGAUAAGCCUGGGAAACUGGGUCUAAUACCGGAUAGGAGCAUGGGGUGGAUGCUGUGGUGGAAAGUUUUUUCGGUGUGGGAUGUGGCCGCGGCCUAUCAGCUUGUGGGGGGGGUAAUGGCGUACCAAGGCGGCGACGGGUAGCCGGCCUGAGAGUGUGGACGGCCACAUUGGGACUGAGACACGGCCCAGACUCCUACGGGAGGCAGCAGUGGGGAAUAUUGCACAAUGGGCGGAAGCCUGAUGCAGCGACGCCGCGUGGGGGAUGACGGCCUUCGGGUUGUAAACCCCUUUCGCCCUCGACGAAGCGUUUCUGACGGUAAAUGGAGAAGAAGCACCGGCUAACUACGUG
rnacentral:rRNA from 1 species